UAACGCUCAAUGUACAUUGAAUGGUGAAUGGGUAUCUUGUGAAUCUCCUGUUUUGCCUGGAACCAUCGCAGAACUCAGCUGUCGCAGCAAUUAUCAGGAAUUUGGAAAAGUUCAAUUGAAACAAAAAAAUCAAGUUACAUGUAACGACACUGGUCAUUGGGAACCCAAACCAAUACGAUGUUUACCAAAAUGCGGGGUUGUUCAUUCAAUAAAAAGAUCCAUUGCUAUCAUCGGAGCUGUAAAAGGCUAUUUAUCUACACUCUCAAAAGUUCCCUGGCACGCUACUUUGUAUAAA
rnacentral:lncRNA from 1 species